GACGAACGCUGGCGGCGUGCUUAACACAUGCAAGUCGAACGGAAAGGCCCUGCUUUUGUGGGGUGCUCGAGUGGCGAACGGGUGAGUAACACGUGAGUAACCUGCCCUUGACUUUGGGAUAACUUCAGGAAACUGGGGCUAAUACCGGACAGGAGCCCCUGCUGCAUGGUGGGGGUUGGAAAGUUUCGGCGGUUGGGGAUGGACUCGCGGCUUAUCAGCUUGUUGGUGGGGUAGUGGCUUACCAAGGCUUGGACGGGUAGCCGGCCUGGGAGGGUGACCGGCGACAUGGGGACUGCGAGACGGCCCAGACUGCUACGGGGGGCAGCAGUGGGGAGUAUUGCACAGUGGGCGGAAGCCUGAUGCAGCAACGCCGCGUGCGGGAUGACGGCCUUCGGGUUGUAAACCGCUUUCGCCUGUGACGAAGCGUGAGUGACGGUAAUGGGUAAAGAAGCACCGGCUAACUACGUG
rnacentral:rRNA from 1 species